UACGUAGGGGGCAAGCGUUGUCCGGAUUUACUGGGCGUAAAGGGCGCGUAGGCGGUCAGCACAAGUCAGUUGUGAAAUCUCCGGGCUUAACUCGGAAAGGUCAACUGAUACUGUGCGACUAGAGUGCAGAAGGGGCAACUGGAAUUCUCGGUGUAGCGGUGAAAUGCGUAGAUAUCGAGAGGAACACCUGCGGCGAAGGCGGGUUGCUGGGCUGACACUGACGCUGAGGCGCGAAAGCCAGGGGAGCGAACGGG
rnacentral:rRNA from 1 species